AUUGAACGCUGGCGGCAGGCCUAACACAUGCAAGUCGAGCGGAUGAAGGGAGCUUGCUCCUGGAUUCAGCGGCGGACGGGUGAGUAAUGCCUAGGAAUCUGCCUGGUAGUGGGGGAUAACGUCCGGAAACGGGCGCUAAUACCGCAUACGUCCUGAGGGAGAAAGUGGGGGAUCUUCGGACCUCACGCUAUCAGAUGAGCCUAGGUCGGAUUAGCUAGUUGGUGGGGUAAAGGCCUACCAAGGCGACGAUCCGUAACUGGUCUGAGAGGAUGAUCAGUCAAACUGGAACUGAGACACGGUCCAGACUCCGACGGGAAGCAGCAGUGGGGAAUAUUGGACAAUGGGCGAAAGCCUGAUCCAGCCAUGCCGCGUGUAUGAAGAAGGUCUUCGGAUUGUAAAGCACUUUAAGUUGGGAGGAAGGGCAGUAAGUUAAUACCUUGCUGUUUUGACGUUACCAACAGAAUAAGCACCGGCUAACUUCGUG
rnacentral:rRNA from 1 species